GGGGGCGUGUGGCUUCGACGGGGACGUGGUUUGCGAGAUGGCGUGUCGAGCCCCGGGCUCGUAAAACCGGGAAAGGCAUUAACUGCCAACACUUCGAGCCAUCCGGCUCUGGCCUACGCUGCCUGAUCUGAUCAAGCAGUAGUGCCAAAAGCUCAGGCUUAGGCCUGACGUCGACCAGGUGGGCGCCCGCGACGCCUGGAGCCGACGUUAAUACAGUGGGCUGGCUCACCGGUGGCGCCUCAGCGCCCGUGGGGACAUUCACUGAGGCUGGCCAGCAGCGAGCCCGUCCGGGGGCGGGCGGUUGGUGAGCUCAGUACCCGGGCUACACACGUAGAGGUCUCGUGGGACGCGCUCUCGGACCCGGGUUCGAUUCCCGGCGCCUCCACCA
rnacentral:tmRNA from 1 species